AGAGUUGAUCCUGGCUCAGAACGAACGCUGGCGGCAGGCCUAACACAUGCAAGUCGAGCGCGCCCUUCGGGGUGAGCGGCGGACGGGUUAGUAACGCGUGGGAACGUACCCUUUGGUAGGGAAUAGCCACUGGAAACGGUGAGUAAUACCCUAUGAGCCCUUCGGGGGAAAGAUUUAUCGCCAAAGGAUCGGCCCGCGUUAGAUUAGGUAGUUGGUGGGGUAAUGGCCUACCAAGCCUACGAUCUAUAGCUGGUUUUAGAGGAUGAUCAGCAACACUGGGACUGAGACACGGCCCAGACUCCUACGGGAGGCAGCAGUGGGGAAUCUUGGACAAUGGGGGCAACCCUGAUCCCAGCCAUGCCGCGUGAGUGAAGAAGGCCUUAGGGUCGUAAAGCUCUUUCGCCUGUGAAGAUAAUGACGGUAGCAGGUAAAGAAACCCCGGCUAACUCCGUGCCAGCCGCUGC
rnacentral:rRNA from 1 species